UAGUCCACGCCCUAAACGAUGUGCACUAGUUGUUGCCAUACUAGAUAUGGCAGUAAUGCAGUUAACACAUUAAGUGUACCGCCUGGGGAGUACGGUCGCAAGAUUAAAACUCAAAGGAAUAGACGGGGACCCGCACAAGCGGUGGAGCAUGUGGUUUAAUUCGACGAUACGCGAAGAACCUUACCUGGACUUGACAUAGUAAGAACUUUCUAGAGAUAGAUUGGUGUCUGCUUGCAGAAGCUUAUAUACAGGUGCUGCACGGCUGUCGUCAGCUCGUGUCGUGAGAUGUUGGGUUAAGUCCCGCAACGAGCGCAACCCUCGUCGUUAGUUGCUAACAGUUCGGCUGAGAACUCUAACGAGACUGCCUGGGUAACCAGGAGGAAGGUGAGGACGACGUCAAGUCAUCAUGGCCCUUACGUCCAGGGCUACACACGUGCUACAAUGGAGUAUACAAAGAGCAGCGAUACAGUGAUGUGGAGCAAAUCUA
rnacentral:rRNA from 1 species